rnacentral:rRNA from 1 species
AGAGUUUGAUCCUGGCUCAGGAUGAACGCUGGCGGCGUGCCUAAUACAUGCAAGUCGAGCGAACGGACGAGAAGCUUGCUUCUCUGAUGUUAGCGGCGGACGGGUGAGUAACACGUGGAUAACCUACCUAUAAGACUGGGAUAACUUCGGGAAACCGGAGCUAAUACCGGAUAAUAUUUUGAACCGCAUGGUUCAAAAGUGAAAGACGGUCUUGCUGUCACUUAUAGAUGGAUCCACGCUGCAUUAGCUAGUUGGUAAGGUAACGGCUUACCAAGGCAACGAAGCAUAGCCGACCUGAGAGGGUGAUCGGCCACACUGGAACUGAGACACGGUCCAGACUCCUACGGGAGGCAGCAGUAGGGAAUCUUCCGCAAUGGGCGAAAGCCUGACGGAGCAACGCCGCGUGAGUGAUGAAGGUCUUCGGAUCGUAAAACUCUGUUAUUAGGGAAGAACAUAUGUGUAAGUAACUGUGCACAUCUUGACGGUACCUAAUCAGAAAGCCACGGCUAACUACGUGCCAGCAGCCGCGGUAAUACGUAGGUGGCAAGCGUUAUCCGGAAUUAUUGGGCGUAAAGCGCGCGUAGGCGGUUUUUUAAGUCUGAUGUGAAAGCCCACGGCUCAACCGUGGAGGGUCAUUGGAAACUGGAAAACUUGAGUGCAGAAGAGGAAAGUGGAAUUCCAUGUGUAGCGGUGAAAUGCGCAGAGAUAUGGAGGAACACCAGUGGCGAAGGCGACUUUCUGGUCUGUAACUGACGCUGAUGUGCGAAAGCGUGGGGAUCAAACAGGAUUAGAUACCCUGGUAGUCCACGCCGUAAACGAUGAGUGCUAAGUGUUAGGGGGUUUCCGCCCCUUAGUGCUGCAGCUAACGCAUUAAGCACUCCGCCUGGGGAGUACGACCGCAAGGUUGAAACUCAAAGGAAUUGACGGGGACCCGCACAAGCGGUGGAGCAUGUGGUUUAAUUCGAAGCAACGCGAAGAACCUUACCAAAUCUUGACAUCCUUUGACAACUCUAGAGAUAGAGCCUUCCCCUUCGGGGGACAAAGUGACAGGUGGUGCAUGGUUGUCGUCAGCUCGUGUCGUGAGAUGUUGGGUUAAGUCCCGCAACGAGCGCAACCCUUAAGCUUAGUUGCCAUCAUUAAGUUGGGCACUCUAAGUUGACUGCCGGUGACAAACCGGAGGAAGGUGGGGAUGACGUCAAAUCAUCAUGCCCCUUAUGAUUUGGGCUACACACGUGCUACAAUGGACAAUACAAAGGGCAGCGAAACCGCGAGGUCAAGCAAAUCCCAUAAAGUUGUUCUCAGUUCGGAUUGUAGUCUGCAACUCGACUACAUGAAGCUGGAAUCGCUAGUAAUCGUAGAUCAGCAUGCUACGGUGAAUACGUUCCCGGGUCUUGUACACACCGCCCGUCACACCACGAGAGUUUGUAACACCCGAAGCCGGUGGAGUAACCUUUUAGGAGCUAGCCGUCGAAGGUGGGACAAAUGAUUGGGGUGAAGUCGUAACAAGGUAGCCGUAUCGGAAGGUGCGGCUGGAUCACCUCCUUU